rnacentral:rRNA from 1 species
CGUACACUCCUGCGGGAGGCAGCAGUGGGGAAUUUUGGACAAUGGGCGAAAGCCUGAUCCAGCCAUGCCGUGUGCAGGAUGAAGGCCUUCGGGUUGUAAACUGCUUUUGUACGGAACGAAACGGCCUUUUCUAAUAAAGAGGGCUAAUGACGGUACCGUAAGAAUAAGCACCGGCUAACUACGUGCCAGCAGCCGCGGUAAUACGUAGGGUGCAAGCGUUAAUCGGAAUUACUGGGCGUAAAGCGUGCGCAGGCGGUUAUGUAAGACAGUUGUGAAAUCCCCGGGCUCAACCUGGGAACUGCAUCUGUGACUGCAUAGCUAGAGUACGGUAGAGGGGGAUGGAAUUCCGCGUGUAGCAGUGAAAUGCGUAGAUAUGCGGAGGAACACCGAUGGCGAAGGCAAUCCCCUGGACCUGUACUGACGCUCAUGCACGAAAGCGUGGGGAGCAAACAGGAUUAGAAACCCCUGUAGUCCC